UCCUACGGGGGGCAGCAGUAGGGAAUUUUCGUCAAUGGGCGCAAGCCUGAACGAGCAAUGCCGCGUGAACGAGGAAGGUCUUCGGAUCGUAAAGUUCUGUUGAAGGGGAAAAAGAGCGGGGAGAGGAAAUGGUCUCCGAUUGAUAUUACCCUUCGAGGAAGUCACGGCUAACUACGUGCCAGCAGCCGCGGUAAUACGUAGGUGGCGAGCGUUAUCCGGAAUGAUUGGGCGUAAAGGGUGCGUAGGCGGCCUGCUAAGUCUGGAGUGAAAGGUACCGGCUCAACCGGUACAGGCUCUGGAAACUG
rnacentral:rRNA from 1 species